rnacentral:lncRNA from 1 species
ACUCGCCAUUCUCGACUCCUUUGGCAGAUUAUUUUUUGUUUUUCUUCUUAUUAUUCCUAUAAAUUAUGGGGAUUAAAUCUAUUCAUGAAUAAUCCGUAGCUUAGCAAAAUGAUUUUUGAGAUGCCUGUGAAAAAUAAAUCAAUGUGAAUCAUUUUGAAAUUAACGGCCAUAAGAAAUCGAGAAUACUCAAAUUAAUUCUAUGAAAUUUUAAGAUAUCAUUGUCAAUAAGCUUAAUUAACUUAUAUUUUAAUUUGUGUGGUAAUGUCGGUUCAAAGUGGCCAGAAAUAUAG